rnacentral:rRNA from 1 species
GACGAACCGUCCAAACGUUAUUCGGAAUCACUGGGCUUAAAGGGCGCGUAGGCGGCCGAGCGGGUCGCGGGUGAAAUCCUCCAGCUUAACUGGAGAACUGCCCUCGAUACCACUGCGGCUCGAGGAAGGAAGGGGCAAUCGGAACUGUCGGUGGAGCGGUGAAAUGCGUUGAUAUCGACAGGAACGCCGGUGGCGAAAGCGGAUUGCUGGUCCUUUUCUGACGCUGAUGCGCGAAAGCCAGGGGAGCAAACGGG